rnacentral:snoRNA from 1 species
UUUGAUGAACAUUUGGAUUCGUAUUUAUACGCUGGAAAUUACCGUCCAAGGGCCUUGGCUCAAUGACGUAAUCAAAUGGCUAUACCUGAGC